CACUCAGGCACUAAUCUCUAAAUAAUGCAAGACAGUUGAGAUUACUGUAUGGGAAGAAGAGAAUGAAAACGACAGAGCGAAUUCGGACUAUGACGUAAAUAUUGUGCGCCGGAGAUCAAAGGCGGGUGGAAAAGUAGAACAUUGCACAGAUCAACAACUUCAAGAACGAUCGAAUGAAUGAACCAAACGUCAAUACAGGAAAGUCAGCAAUUUUGUUAUGAGUAUUUACUCUAUGCAGCAUCACCCUUUGAUUAAGCCGAAAAAAAAAAAAAAUCACUUGCACUUUGUGUUACUCAUUUUCAGUGACGGGCCGUGCAUUUCACAUCGAGCACCAACCUUCAAUCCAACUCUUAACACCAUCAUUAUAACACCACGGGUACAGAAACCAACAACGUUAUAAAGAAGUGCAGUAGAACAGAGCGCUGCAUCACACAGGAAUCUCAUACAGUGAGAAUGAACGUCAUCAUUAAAGCAAGAAACCCAAUGAUCACAAUUCACCACGUCUCCUUUCACUGGAGCCACAACUGCACCUCCACAUACAUCAUCUCCAGCAGGAGCAUCGAUAUUCACCUCACCACAUCACCACUGCAUUUUUUUAUGCUUUUUUUCCGUGCAUUACGGUUUUCUUGGGAAUUUAAAAUGCAGGUAGAUUGUGUGUUUUUGUGCAAAUGUUUACAGGAAAGAAACAGCAAAAGUAUAAAUGAUUUGUGAAGAAGCUUUGCAGCUUUUUGUUUAUAAAAAAUGUCAUAAAGAUCAAAGGGAAUUUCUUCUCUCUGUCAGACAUUGGGGAACGAAAAAACAACUAUUAAAUCCACAUAAAAAUAUUUGAGCUUGUGCAGUUUGCUACAGAUGUAGGUUGUGAGCUCUGACUCGUGCGCUCUUUGUGCAGUUUGCUACAGAUGCAGGUUGCGAGCUCUGACCCGUGCGCUCUCUGACCAAUCGAAGGACGUGAAAAUACAGACGGCUGAUUUAAUAGAGUAUAUUUUUUUUGGGGCACCAUUUUCAUGCAUCAUUAUUCAUAUUGACAGGUUAAUAUUUCCAGCAUUUGUCCUUCUUUCAAUAGCUGUUCUAACAAAGAUCUGAGUGUGUUAUGCUCAAGCCUACCUUGUUCUUGCAGUUUCUUGGUUAGCUUGGGAUAUUUGUUAAACUUAAUGAAAUAAAAGCUUUCAUACUCCAUGA